rnacentral:rRNA from 1 species
GAAAGUAAUAGUGAAAGUGUGUAUAAAAAAAAUAAUUAAAUUAUAUUAAAGUAUUGAUUUAAAAAAUUUUUUGAGGGCAUUAAUGAAUAGUACUGAAAAGGAAGUUUAAAUGUAAAAUUGUUAUAGUAGGAGUAAAAUUAUGUAUUUUGUGUAUCAAAGAUAUUAGAAAUAAAGUAUAGAGUAAUAUAAAUCUCGAAGUAGGAAUAGCUAUGUUUAAAAUAAGUUUUUGUUUUAAAAAAAUUUUAAAUUUAAACUUAAAGAUGAAAUGUUUUACGAGUUCUAUAUAUCUAGUUCUCUAAGAGAUAAAUAUAAUUUAGGUUUAUAGGUUAAUUUUUUAUAAGUCUAAGAGCAGGAGGGAAUAGCUUCUUGUUAAAAUUAUUUAUAAUAGAAUAUUUAAUGAAAUUAGUUUUUGUCUAGGUUUAGAAGUUGUCAUGAUGAGAAAGUAAUUUACUAAGUAAGAUUAAAAAUUUUAUUUUUUUAUUCUUUUUUUAGUAUUAGGGUGUUAUUUAAAAUAUUUAAGAGUAAGUAAGAAUUAAUAUAUAAGUAAAAUUAGUUUGUAUGAAAUGAGAAGUGGAAUAGGUUAAAAGAUUUAAUAAGUUUGUAGUAGUAAAAAGAAAUUCGGCAAAUUUCUUUUUUGCCUGUUUAUCAAAAACAUGUCUAUUUGGAGAAGUAAAUAGUCUGAUCUGCCCACUGAUAAUGAAUAUUAAAGGGCCGCGGUAUUACUGACCGUGCAAAGGUAGCAUAAUCAUUAGGCCUUUAAUUGGGGUCUAGAAUGAAUGAUUGGACAAAAAAAGAGCUGUCUCUAUAUUAGUUAUAGAAUUUAACUUUUAAGUGAAAAGGCUUAAAUAUUUCAAAGGGACGAUAAGACCCUAUAAAGCUUUACAUAUAUUAAAGUUUAAUUUAAUUUAUAAAAUAAAAGUUUAUUUUUAUAUUUAUGUUAUAUUGGGGCGAUAGAUAUAUAAGUAAGUAUAGCUGUUUUUAAAACAUUCGGGAAUAGGUGGGAUAGUUAAAAGAUCCUUUAUUUUAAGAUUUAAGACUAAGUUACUUUAGGGAUAACAGCGUUAUUUUUUUUGAGAGUCCUUAUCGAGAAAAAAGUUUGCGACCUCGAUGUUGAAUUAAAAUUUCUUUACGGCGCAGUUGUUGUAUAAGAAGGUCUGUUCGACCUUUAAAUUUUUACAUGAUUUGAGUUCAGACCGGCGUGAGCCAGGUCGGUUUCUAUCUUUUGAGCAAAAAUGUAUUACUUUAGUACGAAAGGAUUUAGUAAGUUGAAAUUUUUUUAAGGGGUGAA